GAAGGUGGGGCAAGUGAUUGGGGUGAAGUCGUAACAAGGUAGCCGUACCGGAAGGUGCGGCUGGAUCACCUCCUUUCUAAGGGGA
rnacentral:rRNA from 1 species